rnacentral:rRNA from 1 species
ACACACCUACGGGGGGCAGCAGUGAGGAAUAUUGGUCAAUGGCCGAGAGGCUGAACCAGCCAAGUCGCGUGAGGGAUGACGGCCCUACGGGUUGUAAACCUCUUUUGUCGGGGAGCAAAGAGAGUCGCGUGUGGCUCAUUGAGAGUACCCGAAGAAAAAGCAUCGGCUAACUCCGUGCCAGCAGCCGCGGUAAUACGGAGGAUGCGAGCGUUAUCCGGAUUUAUUGGGUUUAAAGGGUGCGCAGGCGGAGGUGCAAGUCAGUGGUCAAAUUGCGGGGCUCAACCCCGUACUGCCGUUGAAACUGC